GGAUGUGAGGGCGAUCUGUCACCAGGGUGGAAUUGGCUGAUCUGGCUAGGCGGGUGGCCCCUUCCUCCCUCAUCGCUCCAUGUGCGGCCCUCCCAAGGCUGUGCUUGGUUGAAGAGGACGACCAUCCCCGCUAGAGGAGAACCGGUCUUCGGUCAAGGGUAUACGAGUAGCUGCGCUCCCCUGCUAGAACCUCCAAACAAGCUCUCAAGGUCCAUAUGGAAGCGCCAUGAUGACCUUGGACAGGAAUUCUUCUAA
rnacentral:snRNA from 1 species